UACGUAGGGUGCAAGCGUUAUCCGGAAUUAUUGGGCGUAAAGAGCUCGUAGGCGGUUUGUCGCGUCUGCUGUGAAAACCGGAGGCUCAACCUCCGGCCUGCAGUGGGUACGGGCAAACUAGAGUGCGGUAGGGGAGAUUGGAAUUCCUGGUGUAGCGGUGAAAUGCGUAGAUAUCAGGAGGAAUACCGGUGGCGAAAGCGACUCUCUGGACGGUAACUGACGCUGAGGCACGAAAGCGUGGGGAGCAAACAGG
rnacentral:rRNA from 1 species